AGUUUCACCAGGAGAAAAAGUCUCUAAACUCAUGUAUAAUAUAUUAAUGAUAACUUAUCUUCUCUCCAGGCAUAGCUGAGAAUAUAAAAAGUGUGAAUAAAUGAACAUGGUGUUGGAGAGAAGAGAAACAUUAUGUGCUAUUCCAUCGGCAACGGGAGGGGUGUAAC
rnacentral:lncRNA from 1 species